CCUACGGGAGACAGCAGUAGGGAAUCUUCCACAAUGGACGAAAGUCUGAUGGAGCAACGCCGCGUGAGUGAAGAAGGGUUUCGGCUCGUAAAGCUCUUUUGGUAGUGACGAAAGAUAGAGGUAUUAACUGGCCUUUAUUUGCCGCUAAUUACUUAGAAAGUCACGGCUAACUACGUGCCAGCAGCCGCGGUAAUACGUAGGUGGCAAGCGUUGUCCGGAUUUAUUGGGCGUAAAGGGAGUGCAGGCGGGUCAACAAGUCAGAUGUGAAAGCCUUGGGCUCAACCGGUGCAUUGCAUCAGAAACUGUUGAACUUGAGUGCAGAAGAGGAGAGUGGAACUCCAUGUGUAGCGGUGGAAUGCGUAGAUAUAUGGAAGAACACCAGUGGCGAAGGCGGCUCUCUGGUCUGCAACUGACGCUGAGGCUCGAAAGCAUGGGUAGCGAACAGGAUUAGAUACCCUUGUAGUC
rnacentral:rRNA from 1 species